rnacentral:rRNA from 1 species
AUACGGAGGGGGCUAGCGUUGUUCGGAUUUACUGGGCGUAAAGCGCACGUAGGCGGUUUAUCAAGUUAGGCGUUAAAGCCCCGGGCUCAACCCGGGAACUGCGCUUAUUACUGAUAGACUAGAGAGCGGGAGAGGGUAGCGGAAUUCCCAGUGUAGAGGUGAAAUUCGUAGAUAUUGGGAAGAACACCAGUUGCGAAGGCGGCUACCUGGACCGGUACUGACGCUGAGGUGCGAAAGCGUGGGGAGCAAACAGGAUUAGAAACCCCGGUAGUCC